GACCAAGGAGUCUAACAUGUGCGCGAGUCGUAGGGUUACGCUCAAAGCCCGAAGGCGCAAUGAAAGUGAAGGUCGGCCUCGAUUGCCGUUACCUAGGCGGGAUCCGUUCGGGCUUACCGGUCGUUCGCGGCUGAGCCCGGCGGCGCACCGCCGGCCCGUCUCGACCGCAUCGCCGGUGAGGCGGAGCGAGAGCGUACACGUUGGGACCCGAAAGAUGGUGAACUAUGCCCGGGCAGGACGAAGCCAGAGGAAACUCUGGUGGAGGUCCGUAGCGAUUCUGACGUGCAAAUCGAUCGUCGGACCUGGGUAUAGGGGCGAAAGAUUAUCGAACCAUCUAGUAGCUGGUUCCU
rnacentral:rRNA from 1 species